AUUGAACGCUGGCGGCGUGCUUAACACAUGCAAGUCGAUCGGUAACAGGUGUAGCAAUACAUGCUGACGAGAGGCGGACGGGUGAGUAAUGCUUGGGAAUCUGCCUAUUAGUGGGGGACAACCCGGGGAAACUCGGGCUAAUACCGCAUACGCUCUACGGAGGAAAGCCGGGGACCGCAAGGCCUGGCGCUAAUAGAUGAGCCCAAGUCGGAUUAGCUAGUUGGUAGGGUAACGGCCUACCAAGGCGACAAUCCGUAGCUGGUCUGAGAGGACGACCAGCCACACCGGAACUGAGACACGGUCCGGACUCCUACGGGAGGCAGCAGUGGGGAAUAUUGGACAAUGGGGGCAACCCUGAUCCAGCGACGCCGCGUGGGUGAAGAAGGCCUGCGGGUUGUAAAGCCCUUUCGGUGGGGAAGAAAAGUCUCGACCUAAUACGUCGGGACCUUGACGUAACCCACUAAAGAAGCACCGGCUAACUCUGUGCCAGCAGCCGCCGCCGU
rnacentral:rRNA from 1 species